rnacentral:lncRNA from 1 species
GGUCGAUGUGGUCGUUGUCGAUGUAGUCGUCGCGAGCUGGCAGCCAAGCGCUUUCGUUGACGUCGUGUGGCCCAAAAAAGCCUGAGCUUUCGGCGUUGGAGCAUGAAGUGGCGGGGCCCCAUAUCAAGGUUGCCUGCAGCAGAUGAAAAAAGGGCGUCUGCAUGACGAGUUGCGAUGCGGUGGCGUGCCCCAAAUGACUCCAGUGGUACAGCGGCUUAUGUAGGUGCCGGAUUCCCGCGCUUGUGCCAGGUUGCCAGAUGACAGACUGGUCCACCGCUGGAAGCAGCGGAUGCAGGUCGAUGUGGUCGUUGUCGAUGUAGUCGUCGCAAGCUGGCAGCCAAGCGCUUUCGUUGACGUCGUGUGGCCCAAAAAAGCCUGAGCUUUCGGCGUUGGAGCAUGAAGUGGCGGGGCCCCAUAUCAAGGUUGCCUGCAGCAGAUGAAAAAAGGGCGUCUGCAUGACGAGUUGCGAUGCGGUGGCGUGCCCCAAAUGACUCCAGUGGUACAGCGGCUUAUGUAGGUGCCGGAUUCCCGCGCUUGUGCCAGGUUGCCAGAUGACAGACUGGUCCACCGCUGGAAGCAGCGGAUGCAGGUCGAU